rnacentral:rRNA from 1 species
UACGUAGGGACCAAGCGUUGUUCGGAUUUACUGGGCGUAAAGCGCGUGUAGGCGGUCCGGUAAGUCCGCUGUGAAAGUCGGGGGCUCAACCCUCGGAUGCCGGUGGAUACUGUCGGGCUAGAGUGCGGAAGAGGCGAGUGGAAUUCCUGGUGUAGCGGUGAAAUGCGCAGAUAUCAGGAGGAACACCGAUUGCGAAGGCAGCUCGCUGGGACGUCACUGACGCUGAGACGCGAAAGCGUGGGGAGCAAACAGG